rnacentral:sRNA from 1 species
ACGGCAACGGCCCGUAGGGUGAGGAGCGAAGCGACGAAUAAUCCUUCCCCCACCACCA